CCUACGGGGGGCAGCAGUGGGGAAUAUUGCACAAUGGGGGAAACCCUGAUGCAGCAACGCCGCGUGAGUGAAGAAGUAUUUCGGUAUGUAAAGCUCUAUCAGCAGGGAAGAGAAUGACGGUACCUGAGUAAGAAGCCCCGGCUAACUACGUGCCAGCAGCCGCGGUAAUACGUAGGGGGCAAGCGUUAUCCGGAUUUACUGGGUGUAAGGGGAGCGUAGACGGCUGGCCAAGUCUGAAGUGAAAGCCCGGGGCUUAACCCCGGAACGGCUUUGGAAACUGGCCGGCUGGAGUGCUGGAGAGGCAGGCGGAAUUCCUGGUGUAGCGGUGAAAUGCGUAGAUAUCAGGAGGAACACCGGUGGCGAAGGCGGCCUGCUGGACAGUAACUGACGUUGAGGCUCGAAAGCGUGGGGAGCAAACAGGAUUAGAUACCCUUGUAGUC
rnacentral:rRNA from 1 species